UCCGGUUUGUCACCGGCAGUCUCAUUAGAGUGCCCAACUGAAUGUAGCAACUAAUGACAAGGGUUGCGCUCGUUGCGGGACUUAACCCAACAUCUCACGACACGAGCUGACGACAGCCAUGCAGCACCUGUGUUACGGCUCCCUUUCGGGCACACCCCCCUCUCGAGAGGCUUCCGUACAUGUCAAGGGUAGGUAAGGUGGGGAUGACGUAGCUAAGCCUUC
rnacentral:misc_RNA from 1 species